GACGAACGCUGGCGGCGUGCUUAACACAUGCAAGUCGAACGGAAAGGCCCUGCUUUUGUGGGGUGCUCGAGUGGCGAACGGGUGAGUAACACGUGAGUAACCUGCCCUUGACUUUGGGAUAACUUCAGGAAACUGGGGCUAAUACCGGAUAGGAGCUCUUGCUGCAUGGUGGGGGUUGGAAAGUUUCGGCGGUUGGGGAUGGACUCGCGGCUUAUCAGCUUGUUGGUGGGGUAGUGGCUUACCAAGGCUUUGACGGGUAGCCGGCCUGAGAGGGUGACCGGCCACAUUGGGACUGCGAUACGGCCCAGACUCCUACGGGAGGCAGCAGUGGAGAAUAUUGCACAAUGGGCGGAAGCCUGAUGCAGCAACGCCGCGUGCGGGAUGACGGCCUUCGGGUUGUAAACCGCUUUCGCCUGUGACGAAGCGUGAGUGACGGUAAUGGGUAAAGAAGCACCGGCUAACUACGUG
rnacentral:rRNA from 1 species